rnacentral:misc_RNA from 1 species
UGGCGAAACUGUAUUACGUGAAUCGUAAUAUAUACAUUUCUCCAGAAAUAAAUGGUAGUAGUAAUUAGUUAGUGGUUAAUAAGAUGAAAAUGAAGAGAGAUAUACUUUUUGUGCUUCGUCCCGAACAGACUGAAGGUUGAUAUUUAUCUCCUUACAGAGUCUGCCUUCAAUAAGCCGCACAGGCAACCAAAGCUUAGGUUCAACAUCAACAAUGUAGGAGAGAGUUGUAUGAAAUGGUUCGUCCAAAGAAGAAUCAAGCUCUUGGUCACCACCUGUCUUGCACUGUUCGAUAGACCAUUUUCCUUCAAAAUUUUUGAAGUCACCUUCUACCAUCUUGAACUCAAUAUCACGCCUCUGACCAGUAGGG